AUGCUCCGGCUGAUCGAGCACCUCCAAGGCCAGACUAUGUCCCUGGGCUUCUGUAUCCACAGCCCCAGGUACCUGGCAGGCGGCAAGGCCCUUAAGGGCUGCCUGUUGAGUGGACGCGUGAAUUUCAAUGAUGGAAAGAAAGCAUCAGAAAGGGCACUGGGAGCAGUUGGAAUGAAACAAGAGCAUCAUCAAAGGCAAAAGCAAAACCAAACCAAACGAGCAAAUCAGCCUGUAAGGCAGCGGAGUGAAGCUCGGCGCGGACAGCUGCAGAAGGAAACUCGAACUGCUGCCAAGGAGUAGAUCGAAGUCUGUCUCCACCAGACCACGGACACCAUCUCAGCCCUCGCCGAAGGCGCUGGCAUAGCUCUUCCCCAGGUGGGAGCAAGUUAAGAACCAGAACAGAAAAUCAUGUGACCUAUUCCACUGCUUCCUUUUAUCUCGGGGUGUUAGACAGCCAAGGAACAGAAGGCUGCUCAAACUGUCUUAGACACAGGAGGCUGAUUUGAAGCGCCUGGGAAACUUCUUGCACUCUGAGUUCUCCCUGCCAUCCGGGUCCUUGUUGUUUCUUUGCUUUGGCAAUGGCUGCAUUCGCCUCCCCUUGCGGACCUGGAAACCUGCUCAUUCACUGGGGCUCACAGUGAGCCAUUGCAGCUGCCCUGACGGAGUUCCCUCACGCUCCAAGACCGCCUGGCCUUCCAGCUCAGCCCUUCACAGUCACAUACUCUUGGGAUCGGCCCGUUUGGUACAAGCCUCCACAUCUAUUUCAACUGCCUGUGGCUAAAGGCAAAACCAUAUUGUGUAUCGAACUGCCCCUUUAAGAGUGUGAGCGGGACGAUUUCUCCAUCAUGUUGGCGUAUAGAAGAGAGGAAAACAAUUGGGCAUUUCUAGAUUCCUCCAAAGGCCAAAAUACCUCUGUGGUUAAGAGAGCACUCAUAGGGUAGAUUUUGGAGACGGCAGCAUUUCAAGGCCUCAUACCUUCUGGGUAGGCCUGCUGUGUGGUUCCUAGAGAAGACACAGCCUAGUCCAUCCAAAUGGCCGUUGGAAGCUUACUUUCAUUGGGAAGCCUUUUUUUAUUCAUUGUUAGGAAAACCCAACAAUUUCCUAUGGUUCCAUUCUGAUUUCAAUUAGAAUAUUAAUCAGCUGUACUCAGCACAACUUUGGCUAAAAAUCCACAAUGCAAUAUACUAAAAUUCCUAGGAACAGAGCCAGUUUAAUUUGUAUUAGAUAUUUUGCCCCAGGAUAGCAUUAGGGACUUAUUAUUACAUGUCUUAUGUAGCUAUUAUUAUUAUAAAUGUGCAUAUUGUGCAAAUUAAAAUCACAUUUCAUUCAGGGAAAAAGCCUCUCUGUUUACUUGAGUCCUGGUGACUGCUUUCCUGUUCUUAAAGGAAUUAAGUGCUUGCAACACCUCUCAUGGUGGGUCUGGGAAGGAACUGCUCCUGGGACACUGUGCCACUUAUAACUUCUGUAAGGAUGUAGUUGAACC
rnacentral:lncRNA from 1 species